UUUAAAGUCUGACCUGCCCUAUGAUAAUUUAAAUGGCCGCAGUAUUUUGACUGUGCAAAGGUAGCAUAAUAAUUAGUUUUUUAAUUGAAAGCUGGUAUGAAUGGUUGGACGAGAAAAUAACUGUCUUUAUUUAAUUUUAUUAGAAUUUUAUUUUUAAGUAAGAAAGCUUAAAUUUUAUUGAAAGACGAGAAGACCCUAUAGAAUUUUAUAUUUAUAUAAAUUUUAUUAUUUGUUUGUAUUAUUUAUUUAGAAUUUAUUAUAGUAUUUUGUUGGGGUGAUAAUAAAAUUUAAUUAACUUUUAUUUUUUUUUACAUUUAUUUAUGGUUUAUUGAUCCAUUUUUUAUGAUUAUAAGAUUAAAUUACCUUAGGGAUAACAGCGUAAUUUUUUUUUAAAGUUCUUAUUAAAAAAAGAGUUUGCGACCUCGAUGUUGGAUUAAAAUUAACUGUUGGUGUAGUGGCUGAUAGGUUAGGUCUGUUCGACCUUUAAAAUUUUACAUGAUCUGAGUUUAAACCGGUGUGAGCCAGGUUGGUUUUUAUCUUUAAUUCAUUAAAAUAUUUUAGUACGAAAGGACCAAAUAUUUAUAAUAUUUAUUUUUUUUUAUUGAAUAUUAUUG
rnacentral:rRNA from 1 species